AACUAGGAUUAGAUACCCUAUUAUUAAAGAGCUAUAAAUUGUAAGUAAAUAUUAAUUAUGAAAGCAAAAAAUUAUGGCGGUAUUUUAAGCUUUUCAGAGGAAUUUGCUCUUUAAUGGAUAAAACACCUAAAUCUUACUUAAAUUUGUCAAUUCAAUUUGUAUACCACUAUGUAAUUAAUUAUUAACUUUAAUUAAUAAAAUUUAUAAAAAUUAAAAAAAAUUAAGUCAAGGUGCAGUAAAAAUUUAAGGAUGAAGUGAAUUACAUUUCUUUUAAGAGAUUAUAAAUUUUAAAAUUAGUUUUAGGAUUUGAAAGUAAAAUUAAAAUAAAAUGUUAAUUUGAAUCAAGCUCUAAAAUAUGUACAUAUCGCCCGUCGCUCUCAUU
rnacentral:rRNA from 1 species